AACACAUCAAUUUGUUUCUUCUGUGAUGUGUAAUAAAAUUUUCCUUCUGAUGCUUUAGCUAUCAUAUUACUAAAUGCCAUAGGAUAAAGGGUUAAUUAAUUUCAGUUGAUUUAUUUAAUAAUAUUUAUGCAUUUAAUAUUUCUAUAACCCUGUAAAAUAGAUACAAUUGAGAAAUUUCACUGAAAUAUCCCUUGGGGCAUAUAUUCCAGUGAGAGAGACAGACAUUAAUCAAAUAAUUACACAAUUAAAAUUGUGAGAGACGACAUUUAAAGAUGAAUAUAAGGUGCUCUGAGAGAAAGUCAGAGAGAGACUCAAGCUACAAGGAAGGUCAGGAAAGGGCUCCAUGAAGAGUCAGGAAUCAUGGAGGGGGAGUCAAGGAAAUUUAGGAGGUGGAAACUACAGGUGCAGAGAUAGGGGAAAAUACUUGGAUGGAACAACAUAGUCAUUCAAAAUGUCAAUGAGGGUUUUCUCUCCCCACCGGCUGUGGGCAACUCCGGCCGGUGAUUUGCCCGGGGGGCCUCCGUGUGCUCGGCCAACGGCCUCUGAGACCGCCCACCGGAGUACCCCAGGAGCCGGUGGGCAGCAGCCCUCGCCGGGGACCCUCCAGCGGGCCCAGAGGGGCAAAAGUGGCUCUAAAUCCAGCACGUGCAUAUUGAGGCAAGUUAAUGGAUUUACUAUGAAGCACAGAAGCAGAUAGUGCCAAAGAGCAAGCAGUAACUGGUACACAUUUAGUGAGCGGGGCAGCCUUUCCUUCUCCCACUGCUGCUGAGAUGGCGGAAAUUAGUCGAAUUCAGUAUGAAAUGGAACACACCGAAGGUAUUAGUCAGCGAAUGAGGGUCCCAGAAAAAUUAAACGUAGCACCACCAAAUGCUGACCUGGAACAAGGAUUUCAAGGAGUUUCAAAUGCUAGUGUGAUUAUGCAAGUUCCAGAGAGAAUUGUGGUAGCAGGAAAUAAUGAAGACAUUCCAUUUUCAAGACCAGCAGAUCUUGACCUUAUACAGUCAACUCCCUUUAAGCCUCUGGCUCUAAAAACACCACCUCCUGUGCUUACUCUGAGUGAAAGACUGCUAGAUUUUCUGGAUUUAGAAAGACCUGCUCCAGCCCCUCAAAAUGAAGAAAUCCGUGCAGUUGGCAGGCUAAAAAGAGAACGCUCUAUGAGUGAAAAUGCUGUUCGCCAAAAUGGACAGCUGGUCAAAACUGACUCCAUACCUGUGUUGCGUGGUGGGUCUGCUGCCGCCACUUCUAAUCCUCAUCUUGACAGCGUCAGGUAUGGCAUUUCAAAUAUAGAUGCAGUGAUUGAAGGAACUUCAGAAGACAUGACAGUUGCAGAUGCAGCUUCAUUAAGACUACAGAUAAUCAAACUAAAUAGACGUCUACAACUUCUGGAAGAGAACAAAAAACGGGCUAAAAGAACGGGUCAUGUAUGCAAUUACUGUAGCAUUCUGGCUGCUUAAUAGCUGGCUCUGGUUUCGCCACUAGAGGUAACCUCAGCUCUCAGAAAUAUUGUCUCAACAGCUGGAAAUAUAAAGAAUUUGCAAA